rnacentral:rRNA from 1 species
AGUCGACGGAAUCAAGAGGAGCUUGCUUCUUUUGAUUUAGUGGCGAACGGGUGAGUAACGCGUGAGUAACCUGCCCUGGAGUGGGGGACAACAGUUGGAAACGACUGCUAAUACCGCAUAAGCCCACGGUAUCGCAUGGUACUGAGGGAAAAGGAUUUAUUCGCUUCAGGAUGGACUCGCGUCCAAUUAGCUAGUUGGUGAGGUAACGGCCCACCAAGGCGACGAUUGGUAGCCGGACUGAGAGGUUGAACGGCCACAUUGGGACUGAGACACGGCCCAGACUCCUACGGGAGGCAGCAGUGGGGGAUAUUGCACAAUGGGGGAAACCCUGAUGCAGCGACGCCGCGUGGAGGAAGAAGGUUUUCGGAUUGUAAACUCCUGUCGUUAGGGACGAUAAUGACGGUACCUAACAAGAAAGCACCGGCUAACUACGUGCCAGCAGCCGCGGUAAAACGUAGGGUGCAAGCGUUGUCCGGAAUUACUGGGUGUAAAGGGAGCGCAGGCGGACCGGCAAGUUGGAAGUGAAAACCAUGGGCUCAACCCGUGAAUUGCUUUCAAAACUGCUGGCCUUGAGUAGUGCAGAGGUAGGUGGAAUUCCCGGUGUAGCGGUGGAAUGCGUAGAUAUCGGGAGGAACACCAGUGGCGAAGGCGACCUACUGGGCACCAACUGACGCUGAGGCUCGAAAGCAUGGGUAGCAAACAGGAUUAGAUACCCUGGUAGUCCAUGCCGUANACGAUGAUUACUNGGUGUUGGAGGAUUGACCCCUUCAGUGCCGCAGUUAACACAAUAAGUAAUC